UAGUGGUUAGCCAAAAAGGUAAGGCAUUAAGUUUUGAUCUUAAAGAUUAUAGGUUCGAAUCCUGUACUUCUAG
rnacentral:tRNA from 2 species